ACAAAAUUGCAGUUUGUGCAAACCAUGUGUGAUUUUUCUGGGAUCUCUAAACAAGGCAGAACUAUUUCUGAAAAGCGUGUUUCAGCAAUAAGUUCAGCUGUUCCUCCCAUAAACACAAACCAAAAAGAGUUGAUGUUUUUAUUUAGGACUGUGUAGUUACUGUAGGCAUUUUAUUCAAAAUUAUGCUGUGUUUGAGAAACCUCUUAGAGAUAAAUGUCAUAAAAAAGGGUUAUUAAUGAGCUCAAAUGUUACAUGGACUGCUGCAGCCUUAACAUUAUUUGAAGUGCUCUAAAACAAUUGCAAACAGCACCCACUCUGGGAAUUCCCAAUCCAACUUGUCCGUGUACACAGACAGUGGAUGAGUGAGGUGGCUGUAUGACGUCAGUAUUGCUCCAAAAACACGGUGACAGAUUGAAACCAAUCGCCUAUAUUUUCAUCCAAAUUGGAUGCUGUAAUAGCUGGUCGGUUUCCACUAUUUGAGCGGAAUGGUAACCACAGAAAAAGCUGUUUUAGCAUCCCGAGACAUUGUGGGUUAUUCUGAUCUGAAUCUAUUCAUUCACGCACGCUCUCACUCUCAUUCUAGAUGAGCAGACUGCGCAUCUGUCAACUGCCAGAUAGCUGCGUUAUUACUUUGCACUUUUAGACUUUUAGAUAACAAACGCUGUACAGUUUUAAUAUCCAGCUACUCUUUUGCCAAUGCCUGAGGAAAGCCAACCUCAUAACUGCGUUGCUGAAUUGGACGUCCUAUGUUACCCCAGACCUGAUCUGAAGCAGGAACCACUCUCAGAUGCAGAAUUGAGUGGUUACGCUGUUGUCACUCCUUCCGGUGUGCUUGAAGCUGCACCCUUACCACAGCUCUCAGCUCAAGCUUGUGAGUUGAUUGCCUUAACACAUGUAUGUGUUUUAUCUAAGGAUCAAAAAGUGACCAUUUUGCAUCACAAAUUCAUUUUUGACAUUUUGGAUACUGUAAUACUGCCAUCAUCUGUGGCCAUUAUUAAAUGUGCCACUACCCCACUCGCUGCUAAAAGUUCCAACACCACCUGACCUACCUCAUCUGUUAACUGAUCUACCUCGUUUGUCAUUAUCCGAUCUUCACGCAUCUUCACAAUCUAUCUGUAAACAACAUGGUGCCGUGCUAAAAGACUCUGUUUGAAUUGGCCCUUAUGACAAUCCCUGCCUUCCUGAAACAUUUUUCCGACCUUUCUGUGUUGUGACGCAGGGUGUUGAUCCCCUUGCGUCACAAGGGGGGAAGAAAUGAAUAAAUUAUGGUACAGUAAAAUUUUCUAUGGUUUACAGUAAAACCAUUUUUGUGAAAACUGUGAUUUGUGCUCAAAAUAACGUUUCAAAAGGUGCACACCAGCCAACCGCAGCACCAUUUCAGCAUGUUAUGAUAGUUUUAUUGAACUAACCCCAUGUGACAAGAAAAAUAUUGUUUGGUGAUGGUUGACAUGUUUUUUAAAAAUGAGUUGAAACGUUCUCAGUUCAAACAGCAGACGCCUCCAAAGUAGCAAAGAUUCUCUCUCCAGGUAAUUUGCCGCUGGGGAGUGCCCAUGGUAAACAUUUUGCAAAUCAAAUUCUUACUGAACUGUCUAAAAUGUUGAAUCUGGAUCUAAUAAAACAUUGUUUUAAGGAAGAAACAGGUCUGAACUGGGUACAGACCAAUUGCAAUGUAUAUGAGAAUGAGACGUCGUCAGAGAAAAAUAACCUCAAUCCUUUUGAAAUCCUUUUUGCAGGUUUUGUCCCAAAUUUAGGCCUGGGACCUCCUUGCAGUUCUGGAAAAGAUUUAACCACCUGUGAUGACUAAUUACUACAUUUCUCUAACAGAUCAACUAAAAACCACCAGACAGCAGGCACAAGGAGACCAGCCUGCCCCCAGCUAUUAAACCACUGCAUGAAAUACAGCCAGGAGAUUUUUUUGUUUUUUGUUUAUUAAAUUAUAUUUAUUAUAGGAGAAGGAACUGGCGAUUCCACCGGUGGCUAGGACACUUCCAGACCGUUCCAGGUGUUGAUGAGAGGCCUACCUAGGCCCACGCCAGCCACUGUAAGAAGUGCUCAGGAGACAUCCCAGGGGCUUACAAAGAAGCUUCCAACUAAGCAUCUCUGAAAUAACAGAGUUGCCGACUUUCAGCACUCAGUGGCUUCUAUCUGAGAAAGAUGUCAGGACAAAGGAGGUCCCUGGAGCUGGAGCUGGAGGAGGAACCCAACCUUUUUCCUCGAAGUAGUCCCUGGCCAUAGAGGACUGGGAUGUAUUAACAAAAUACAUCCUUCGAUUUGCCAUCACAAUCUAUGCCACCGCUCAGAAACAGUGUUUGUAUUGAGCACCACGGAUUCAAUUGAAGAGUGUAUGUUGUUUUGCUGUAUUCUGUGGCGGAAUAAACGGACACAUUUAUUCUAGCA